CCUACGGGAGGCAGCAGUGAGGAAUAUUGGUCAAUGGACGAGAGUCUGAACCAGCCAAGCAGCGUGAAGGAUGACUGCCCUAUGGGUUGUAAACUUCUUUUAUAUGGGAAUAAAAUGUUCCACGUGUGGGACUUUGUAUGUACCAUAUGAAUAAGGAUCGGCUAACUCCGUGCCAGCAGCCGCGGUAAUACGGAGGAUCCGAGCGUUAUCCGGAUUUAUUGGGUUUAAAGGGAGCGUAGGUGGAUUGUUAAGUCAGUUGUGAAAGUUUGCGGCUUAACCGUAAAAUUGCAGUUGAAACUGGCAGUCUUGAGUACAGUAGAGGUUGGCGGAAUUCGUGGUGUAGCGGUGAAAUGCUUAGAUAUCACGAAGAACUCCGAUUGCGAAGGCAGCGCACUGGGCUGCAACUGACACUGAGGCUCGAAAGUGUGGGUAUCAAACAGGAUUAGAUACCCGUGUAGUC
rnacentral:rRNA from 1 species